AUGAAAUCAUACCUUGAAGGCAGAACUCAGUGUGUCAGAGUGAGCAAUGAGCUGUCGCCCACUCUUAGCUAUGAUGUGGGCGUGCCCCAAGGGUCAAUACUGGGGCCCCUCCUGUUCAGCUUGUACAUUAAUGAUCUGCCUUCCGUCUGCACUGGGUCUGAAGUUCAAAUGUAUGCAGAUGAUACAGUGAUAUAUGUGCAUGCAAAGAGCAAACAACAAGCUGCACAAGAACUCACUACUGUAAUGGUCCAGGUUACAAAGUGGCUCAGUGACUCGUGUUUGCAUCUCAAUGUGAAAAAAACAGUUUGCAUGUUCUUCACAAAGAGGGCAACAGAUGCUACUGAGCCAGAUGUCUAUGUGUCAGGGGAGAAGCUCCAGGUGGUAUCUGAUUUUAAGUACCUUGGAAUCAUACUUGAUUCCAACCUCUCUUUUAAAAAGCAUGUGAAAAAGGUAAUUCAAAUAACCAAAUUCAACCUAGCUAAUUUCCGAUUUAUACGAAAUUGUUUGACCACAGAGGUAGCAAAACUGUAUUUCAAAUCGAUGAUACUCCCCCACUUAACAUACUGCUUGACUAGUUGGACCCAAGCUUGCUAUACAACAUUAAAACCUAUUCAGUCUGUCUACAAACAGGCUCUCAAAGUGCUCGAUAGAAAGCCCAAUAGCCAUCAUCACUGUUACAUCCUCAGAAAGCAUGAGCUCCUGAGUUGGGAAAAUCUUGUGCAAUACACCGACGCAUGUCUUGUAUUCAAGAUCCUAAAUGGCCUAGCUCCCCCUCCACUCAGUAUUUUUGUAAAACAGAAAACCCAAACAUAUGGCAGCAGAUCCACGAGGUCUGCCAUGAGAGGUGACUGUAUAGUUCCCUUAAGGAAAAGCACCUUUAGUAAAUCUGCUUUCUCUGUGAGAGCUUCCCAUGUCUGGAAUACACUGCCAUCAGACACACAUAACUGCACCACAUAUCACACUUUCACAAAAUGCAUGAAGACAUGGCUAAAGGUCAAUCAGACCUUUGUGAACAUAAUCCCUAGCUGUGUAUUGCCGCUUUCCAUGUUGUCUGUUGUCUGUAGCUUGUGA
rnacentral:lncRNA from 8 species